AACUUUUAUCCAUGAUCACCUGUACAAGCAAAUGAAUAUCAUAGGAAUUUAAUCCUUUACGGUAACUGUUUGUUUUAUAAUUUUUUACAAAAUGCUUAAAUACGGUACCUACCCUGCCCCAUUAUUUCACAUAUUGAAUUUUCCUUGUCUUGUCCCACUCAAUUUAGACCUUGUCAACCCCUGCCUUCCCUAUUUCCACCUCUACUUAUGACAAAUCAAUUAUAAGAUCAUAACUUAGUAUUUUGAUAUAAAGAAUCAAAUAUAGAAAACUAGACAAAAGAUCUCUUGCAUAAUAUUAAGUCACAUGUUUGUAAGGUUUAGCACAUUUUAGAGUGACACAACACUAAAUUUCCUAAAUUUUUGUGGUGCUUGGGCUGCACAAUUUUUGCCUUUUAUUUUCGUAAAUGGCAAUUUUGUGCUUUUUAGCUCGUGUUAGUACUUGAACUAUCCUUUUCAAUUGAAACUGGACUGCUCACGUGACUUAUUUACACCAUAUAUUUCAAAACUCCCUUAUCUAAAUAUAAUAUAAUAAACCCCAAACUAAAAAGUUACAAUAUUGAACAAGAUUAGAAUAAACAAAAAGAUAGGAAAUUGAGGAAAUUGAACUAAAUUAACUCACCUAAAUGUAAAAUCAUAAACCCCAAACAAAAAUGUACCAAUCUUGAGAAAAUUUAGGAUUACAAAAAAAAGAAAUUAGAGACACCUGAAUAGGGAAUUCUUGAAUCUUGAUGGGUUAGCUUUGUUUGUGAAUAUCCCAGCUAAGAAGCUAAUGAAUAAACACAUGAGUCCGUCUUAGAGCAGAAAAAUCACAUUAACACUUUUUUUGUGGGUUUGCCUAGAAUCUGAUUAUUUAACAAAAUGGUACUAUUUCUAGUUUAAUGUAGACUCUUCUAUUGUACUGAUAGUGUCAAAUAUUAUGGGUUAAGAUUAA
rnacentral:lncRNA from 1 species